ACGUCCUUAGGCUUAAUGGUAAACCAGUUGACUCCAAAUCUUCUGUUCCAUGUUCGAAUCGUGGAGGGCGUG
rnacentral:tRNA from 1 species